CAACAUAUUCAGAAAAGUGGUCUGUUCCUUUGCAUUGACAGGUCCUGUUCUAUGGUACUUCUAAAUGUACCCAGACCAACCGCCGAUGGCGCAGGUUUCCACCUUAGCGCUAGGUUUGGUGUCAAAUAGAUGACUGUUAUCGGCAGUGGAUAUAUCUAAGCCGGUAAGCAUGAGUACAUCGGCAAGUGUGGGAGAAGCAGGGCCAUGGCCAAACACAAAAGCAUUGAGCUUGUCUGACCAAAAGUGUGAGGCAGCAAUUAGCAGUGACUCAUUCCUCUCCAUAUCGGCAAGGGACAACCUAAUGCACUGGUCUAAUUUUCACUCGCCCCAUUGAACCUCAUUUGAGUGGCUGACUCUCAAGAACCAAUCCUUCCAUCCCUUGGUAGGACUGGGCCUGGAACGGAAGGCAUCUUUCCAUAGAUCUAGAGAGAAGUUUUCGGCUCUAAAAGGGACUCUGUUUGUCUCUGCGUUUAUCAGAUCGGUGGGAUUUGGGUUUCCUAGCGGGCCAAGACACUGGAGGUGAGGUUGAUCGGUAGGAAUAACGAUCUUAUCGGCCAAAUCCUAGAAGUUUUUGAGGGUAAAAAGAAAAAAGAAAAAGAAAAAGGAGUGUUCAGUAAGAUGAAUUGCGGAUGAACAGGAGUACAAUAAAAGUGCAGGAGAAAGGGUAGUGAACUGACCUCAGGCACGAUGAAGUUGAUGGCUAUUUUCUCGCAAGAAGGAGGAUCGAAGACUUGGGGGAUUAGUGAAGAAGGCCUUCGUGGAAGUUCUUGGAGUCCUCGGGUGGUGCCGCCGCCGUGGAAGUGGAUUUUGGGCUGUAGAAUGACAAGAUGGAGAAGGAGUACCAGAGAAGGAAGUGUUUAUAGGACAAAACGGGCAGGGGCAAAUCUGACUUAUCUCUUUGCCGCAUCCGUGAAAUCUGAGAGUAUUCAGGUGGAUAUGGUAACUGUUCGCACGGUAAUCAAGGGAUUGCGCAGGUGAUUUGACAGCAAGCGGUGAUGAUUUUGGAGAUAUUUCACUGUACGAUAUCUCCUGGUCGGUCCAUCGGCAGUUCUCUCUAACGGUAAUAUUGCCGAUGGGCGUAUAAAGUGGAGAGAUUCGGUUUGGGAGGUUGAAGAAUUCGAGGAAUAUGCAAGAGAAUCGGGCCAAGGUUGUUCGGAUUUAACGGCCGAUUGCCAAAUUGGGAGAAUUAAUUGCAGAAAGGCAUCAUUACUGCAG
rnacentral:lncRNA from 1 species